UACAGAGGUGGCAAGCGUUGUUCGGAAUUACUGGGCGUAAAGGGCGCGUAGGCGGCCUUCUAAGUCAGACGUGAAAUCCCCCGGCUUAACCUGGGAACUGCGUCUGAUACUGGGAGGCUUGAGUAUGGGAGAGGGAUGCAGAAUUCCAGGUGUAGCGGUGAAAUGCGUAGAUAUCUGGAGGAAUACCGGUGGCGAAGGCGGCAUCCUGGACCGGCAUUGACGCUGAUGAGCGAAAGCUAGGGGAGCAAACGGG
rnacentral:rRNA from 1 species